AACGAACGCUGGCGGCAGGCUUAACACAUGCAAGUCGAACGAGAUCUUCGGAUCUAGUGGCAGACGGGUGAGGAACACGUGGGAACAUCCCUUUCUGCUCGGAAUAACGUUGGGAAACUAACGCUAAUACCGGAUACGUCCUUCGGGGAAAGAUUUAUCGCUGAAAGAUUGGCCCGCGUCUGAUUAGCUAGUUGGUGAGGUAACGGCUCACCAAGGCUACGAUCAGUAGCUGAUCUGAGAGGAUGAUCAGCCACAUUGGGACUGAGACACGGCCCAAACUCCUACGGGAGGCAGCAGUGGGGAAUAUUGGACAAUGGGCGCAAGCCUGGUCCAGCCAUGCCGCGUGAGUGAUGAAGGCCUUCGGGUUGUAAAGCUCUUUUGUCCGGGAAGAUAAUGACUGUACCGGAAGAAUAAGCCCCGGCAAACUUCGUGCCAGCCGCCGCAGUAA
rnacentral:rRNA from 1 species